UACGUAGGGUGCGAGCGUUAAUCGGAAUUACUGGGCGUAAAGCGUGCGCAGGCGGCGCGUUAAGACAGGUGUGAAAGCCCCGAGCUUAACUUGGGAAUUGCGCUUGUGACUGGCGUGCUGGAGUGUGGCAGAGGGAGGUGGAAUUCCACGUGUAGCAGUGAAAUGCGUAGAGAUGUGGAGGAACACCAAUUGCGAAGGCAGCUCGCUGGGACGUUACUGACGCUGAGACGCGAAAGCGUGGGGAGCAAACAGG
rnacentral:rRNA from 1 species